GAGAGAUCGGUGCUACUGGAAUCGGGCUUGCUCUUGAUUUCAAUCGGUAUCUCACCCCAUCUAAGCUCUCGGAGAGGUGUCUAAUCCCAAUUGGAGUCGCGUUGAGUGACGGCAAUGAAGGUUGGGUGUGUUCCCCGUAAGGGUAGAGCAUAGACUUUAUGAACAGUGCUGGGACUGUCGCCUCACCAAAAACUCAUCGAUAACUGGUGGCUAUGGUGUGACUUCGGUCACAUCAAGAUCUGCUAUGCAGAGAGCCUCAAUGAGUUGUUUGUUCAACCGCCGGUGUCGAUAAAUCUUAUCUCAAUUAACUUGUUUCUUGAUUCGUGUUAAUACAUUUUGGCACAAUGUAUUAGCUUCAGCGAUGGAUCGGUUGAUUCGCGUAUCGAUGAAAAACGCAGCAAGCUGCGUUAUUUACCACGAAUUGCAGACGCUUAGAGUGGUGAAGUUUUGAACGCACAGCGCCGUUGGGUUUUCCCUUCGGCACGUCUGGCUCAGGGUUGUUUAAAGUACUGCGGUGUUGCUGCGAAAGUAGCAUCAUCGAAUGUCGAACGGCGUUAGUGUUACUACUGGCCCCGUUCUAGUUCCGAAUAUUGGCAACAUGUCUUCUUCGUGAAGACGCCGUGGAGAGUAUAAGUCUGUACCUAUGGAUGUGUCGCGUAUGAAAUAUGAUGCUUCCCAUACAUAGCGAGGAGGUGCUUCUUAUACUAUCUUGCUUAUGCAACCUGAGCUCAGUCGUGAUUACCCGCCGAACUUAAGCAUAUCAUUCAGCGGAGGAAAAGA
rnacentral:rRNA from 1 species